rnacentral:rRNA from 1 species
GAGUUUGAUCAUGGCUCAGGAUGAACGCUGGCGGCGUGCCUAAUACAUGCAAGUCGAGCGAACAGACGAGGAGCUUGCUCCUCUGACGUUAGCGGCGGACGGGUGAGUAACACGUGGAUAACCUACCUAUAAGACUGGGAUAACUUCGGGAAACCGGAGCCAAUACCGGAUAAUAUAUUGAACCGCAUGGUUCAAUAGUGAAAGACGGUUUUGCUGUCACUUAUAGAUGGAUCCGCGCCGCAUUAGCUAGUUGGUAAAGUAACGGCUUACCAAGGCAACGAUGCGUAGCCGACCUGAGAGGGUGAUCGGCCACACUGGAACUGAGACACGGUCCAGACUCCUACGGGAGGCAGGCAGUAGGGAAUCUUCCGCAAUGGGCGAAAGCCUGACGGAGCAACGCCGCGUGAGUGAUGAAGGUCUUCGGAUCGUAAAACUCUGUUAUUAGGGAAGAACAAAUGUGUAAGUAACUAUGCACGUCUUGACGGUACCUAAUCAGAAAGCCACGGCUAACUACGUGCCAG